rnacentral:rRNA from 1 species
AGGACAAACGCUGGCGGCGUGCGUUAAACAUGCAAGUCGAACGGGGGUCUUCGCAAGGGGGCUUCAGUGGCGAACGGCUGAGUAGCACGUACUGGACCUGCCCAUAGGUGGGGGAUAGCCCGAGGAAACUUGGGGUAAUACCGCAUGAGGUCGUCGGUGUAGAGGCCGAUGAGGAAAGCAUCGUAAGGUGUGCCUGUGGAGGGUGGUGCGGCCCAUCAGGUAGUUGGUGGAGUAGUGGUUCACCAAGCCGGUGACGGGUGGCCGGUCUGAGAGGAUGGUCGGCCAGACUGGGACUGUGACACGGCCCAGGACACCUACGGGUGGCAGCAGUGGGGAAUUUGGACAAUGGGCGCAAGCCUGAUCCAGCCAUGCCGCGUGCGGGAAGAAGGCCUUCGGGUUGUAAACCGCUUUUGUCAGGAAGAACGCUCCGGUUAAUACCCGUGGAGUAAGUGACGUACCUGAAGAAUAAGCACCGGCUAACACGUGCCAGCAGCCGCGU